CCUACGGGAGGCAGCAGUGGGGAAUAUUGGGCAAUGGGCGCAAGCCUGACCCAGCAACGCCGCGUGAAGGAAGAAGGCUUUCGGGUUGUAAACUCUCUUUGACCGGGAAGAGUAGAAGACGGUACCUGCCGAAUAAGCCACGGCGAACUACGUGCCAGCAGCCGCGGUCAUACGUAGGUGGCAAGCGUUGUCCGGAUUUACUGGGUGUAAAGGGCGUGUAGCCGGGUUGACAAGUCAGAUGUGAAAUCCUGCGGCUUAACCGCAGAACUGCAGUUGAAACUGUUGAUCUUGAGUACUGGAGAGGCAGACGGAAUUCGUAGUGUAGCGGUGAAAUGCGUAGAUAUUAGGAAGAACACCAGUGGCGAAGGCGGUCUGCUGGACAGCAACUGACGGUGAGGCGCGAAAGCGUGGGGAGCAAACAGGAUUAGAUACCCCAGUAGUC
rnacentral:rRNA from 1 species